rnacentral:rRNA from 1 species
GACGAACCGUGCGAACGUUGUUCGGAAUCACUGGGCUUAAAGGGCGCGUAGGCGGGCUGUCAAGUCUGGGGUGAAAUGCCGCGGCUCAACCGUGGAACUGCCUUAGAUACUGACGGCCUCGAGGAAGGUAGGGGCAUGCGGAACUGUAGGUGGAGCGGUGAAAUGCGUUGAUAUCUACAGGAACUCCGGUGGCGAAAGCGGCGUGCUGGACCUUUUCUGACGCUGAGGCGCGAAAGCUGAGGGGAGCAAACGGGGGAUUA